rnacentral:lncRNA from 1 species
GUACCUCGCUGUAGGACACUUUGGGAAUAUGCUCAGCCGUGUUCACUCAUUCAUAGAACUGGAAGUGCAACACAGAGUUAACUUCCUUGGGUUAACUCUUGUCUAAUGAGAGACAGAAGCUGGUAGACAAAUAUUUCUUUCUUCACUGUCUUGCCCUGACAGCCCUGAAGGGCACUCUACAUGGUUUUUUAGAGGACUCCAGUAGGACCCAGCCACAAUGGCCUAUGCUAUUGUUCUGGAAAGCACUCCCUAAUAGACAACCUGCAUGCAAGUAUCUGCCUCAGAGUUCAUUUUCUACACAAUUGGGCCUAAGGUCACACACGUUGUUCUGAAGAUGCUUUAAUGUUCUCCACGUGUAGUUGAUGGACGACUGAAGAUUAUCCUUGGAAUCGAGCAUCUCUUCCUAGGGAUCUGGAAAUCAUAUCCUGCUUUCCCACAGUUUUGGACCAGCAAGUCAUAACUUUUUGUGAGGAGGAGAUGCUUUUCAUUUCCAUGAAGGCUUGGGGUCACUCCUGUUGCUGCUGCAGCUACUCCUGUGGGUUUUAGGAUAGCUGACCUGACUUUGACGUGGCCAUCUCCAAAGCAUUUUUCUGACUGAGAGCCACAGGCCCUCAACAUCAACGUAAUUUGGAUACACUCAAGAAUCCACAGGCUUCACUCUGGAGAUGAAGGGACUUAAACCACAUAUGG